rnacentral:rRNA from 1 species
CCAAAAAUGGAAAUUAUCCUCUUUAGAAAAUAAUACUUUGAUGUAAUAUAACAUUAUAUAGAUGUACUUAAAUUAUGGAAAUUAAUAAUAUUGUAUUUUAUCCAGUUUAAAAUUUUAAUCAAUUAUAAAAAUAUAAAAUUAGACUACUAUCUAUAAUUAUGUGGUUAAUUAGGUGCCAGCAACCGCGGUUAUACCUAUGCAUAUAUAAUGAAUUACUAUUGGUUUAAUUAAAAUAAUAAAAAGAUAGUUUUAAGUAGUGAAAUAUAAAAUCUAUCUUUCAUUCUAUUAAUUAUUAAUUUCUAACCUAUACUAAAAACUAGGAUUAGAUACCCUACUAUUAUAGCGAUAAUAAACUAAUAAAACAGUAAUAUACUAAGUAUAGAAAAUUAAGCAUCAUGGCGGCUACUUAACUACAUUAGGGGAACUUACCCUAUAAUUGAUAACCACCAAGAUAUAUAUACUUUUUUUAAUAGUCUGUAUACCGUCGUGAAAUAUUUAUCUAUUGAUAAAUUUUAAUAUAUUAUUUAAUAAUAAAACCACAGAUCAAGGUGCAACCCAUAAAAAAGAAAGAGGCGAGUUACAUUCAUAAUUUUAUAAGCUACGGUAAAUAUAUAGUAUUUAUAUAUCUUAAGUUGGACUUAAUAGUCACCUUUAAUUCAAUUUUAAUAGGUAAAUAUUUAUUUAAUUAGUGC